GAUGAACGCUGGCGGCGUGCCUAAUACAUGCAAGUCGAGCGAACAGACGAGGAGCUUGCUCCUCUGACGUUAGCGGCUGACGGGUGAGUAACACGUGGAUAACCUACCUAUAAUACUGGGAUAACUUCGGGAAACCGGAGCUAAUACCGGAUAAUAUAUUGAACCGCAUGGUUCAAUAGUGAAAGACGGUUUUGCUGUCACUUAUAGAUGGAUCCGCGCCGCAUUAGCUAGUUGGUAAGGUAACGGCUUACCAAGGCAACGAUGCGUAGCCGACCUGAGAGGGUGAUCGGCCAAACUGGAACUGAGACACGGUCCAGAGUACUACGGGAGGCAGCAGUAGGGAAUCUUCCGCAAUGGGCGAAAGCAUGACGGAGCAACGCAGCGUGAGUGAUGAAGGUCUUCGGAUCGUAAAACUCUGUUAUUAGGGAAGAACAAAUGUGUAAGUAACUAUGCACGUCUUGACGGUACCUAAUCAGAAAGCCACGGCUAACUACGUG
rnacentral:rRNA from 1 species